AACGUAGGACGCAAGCGUUAUCCGGAAUUACUGGGCGUAAAGGGCGCGUAGGCGGUUCUGUAAGUCCCGCGUGAAAUCCCCCGGCUCAACUGGGGAACUGCGCGGGAAACUGCGGGGCUUGAGUUCGGGAGAGGGAAGCGGAAUUCCGGGUGUAGCGGUGAAAUGCGUAGAUAUCCGGAGGAACACCGGUGGCGAAGGCGGCUUCCUGGACCGACACUGACGCUGAGGCGCGAAAGCUAGGGGAGCAAACGGG
rnacentral:rRNA from 1 species